rnacentral:lncRNA from 1 species
GGUCAUGUGACACCGGGGUUAUGGGAUUCGAUAGAUAAUUGGUUAUUAUUUACGUUGUUUAUGAUGACUAAUAUGUUGAGAUGCUUUGUUGAGAUAAUGUUGAAACAUUUAUUAUGAAUUGUUAUAUGAUGAAUGAUAAUAUUUGUGUUGUGUCCGCUGCGAAGUUUUUAAUAAAUAAAUAAUAUGUUUUAUGUUGUUGAUGCCGAUAAGUGUUAUGUUGUAAGAAAUGUAAACUCUUCUACAUGUUGUAUCUGAUAAUUUAUUUAAUAUGUCGUUUGGGUAGAGGGUGUUACUUAGUGUAUCAGAGCAUAGUCAGUCCAGUCGAGUCAUAAUGUGAUGUUUUCCCUGUUGGUCGAUUAGUGUAAUGACACUGUCGAUAUUUAACGGUGGUGGUUGUGUUGUUGAGAGUAUGGCUGGAGAAAAUGACCGUGCGAUUGCUGAGGCUUUGGCUGCUAUGGCGCAGGCUAUGCAGGCGCAGCAGAAUCCGCCGGUCGACGAGUUUAGAAUUUGGGAAGGUUUCUGAAGAAUAACCCUCCUACAUCAAGGGCGCUAUGAUCCAGAUGGUGCUCAGAUUUGGCUGAGGGAAAUUGAGAAGAUUUUCCCGGGUGAUGACGUGUACUGAAGCACAGAAGGUGCAGUUUGGUACGCAUAUGUUAUCUGAAGAGGCUGAAAACUGGUGGAUAACACUCGCCAGAGAAUUGAAGUACCAGGUGCUGAGAUGACUUGGGAAAGGUUAAGACGGUCUUUUCUGGAGAUAUUUUCCUGCUGAUGUGCGAUGUAAGAAGGAGAUGGAAUUUCUAGAACUGAAGCAGGGUAACAUGUCUGUUGCUGAUUCGCUUCGAAGUUUGAGGAGCUGGUGCAGUAUUGCCUCAUUAUAAUGAUAGGUUAGCUCAGACGGAAUCCCAAGAAUUGUACAAGAUAGUGGAACGGAACUUCGCCUGCAUGCAUCAGAGAGGAUUUCCUUGCAUGAUAAGUCAGAGUGAUUAGUGAGAUGCUAGAUAGGCAGAUGUGACGCGAUGCGUGCUUAUACGAGUAUAAGAAGAAAAGUUCGGUAGCAUAAGCCCCAGUAAGGUAUAUAGCAAUAGGUAUAAGAAGAAGCCAAUGUGUGGAUCUCCAGGUACUGGAAUACUGUUCAAUGUUGUGCGAUGCUCAGCCACCGAUCUGAUAGCUGUACAAAAGUGCUGAAUGUUUCCGAUGCGGUAGGCUGGUCAUAGAGUUCUAAUGUAAGAUGCUGGUCCGCAUGUUUUAAUUGUGGCGAGAAAGGCCUAAUCAGUUCGCAGUGCUCGAAACCGAAGAAGGCGGCUACUGCAGCUCAUACUACUGGUAGGGUGUUUGCCCUGAGUGGGGCUGAAGCUCCUAAAGAAGAUAAUCUGAUUAAAGGUACUUGCUUGAUUAAUAAUGUUGAAUUGCUGUGCUAUUGUUGACACUGGUGCUACUCAUUCGUUUAUUUCGUAUGAGUGUGCGACCAGGAUGGUGUGAUUAUGUCGUCCCUAGGCGGAAGUAGGGUGAUAGAUACUCCUGCUAAUGGUUCUGUGAAGACUUCUGUUGUCUGUCGAGGUUGUCAUUUGACGAUCUUGAGAGAGAGUUCGUGAUUGAUUUGGUGUGCUUACCCUUGCACCAAAUUGAUAUUAUUCUGGAAUGAAUUGGCUAGAAUUCUAUGGCGUGUUUAUCAACUGCUAUAGGAAGACGGUGCGGUUUUCUGAAGUUGGUGAGAAUGAUGAGGCAAGAUUUCUAUCUGCUAGGCAGGUGGGGGAUUUUGUGAAAGAUGAAGCUCAGAUAUUCGCUUUAUUUGCGUCUCUGCAAGCGGAUAAGAAAGUGGUGAGUGUAGAUUUGCCUGUUGUCUGUGAAUUUCAGGAUGUGUUUCCGGAGGAUGUAAGUGAUUUCCUCCAGAACGUGAAGUCGAAUUUGCCAUUGACUUAGUACCAGGUACGAGUCCAGUGUCGAUGUCUCCUUAUAGAAUGUCGGCAACUGAAUUAGUUGAAUUGAAGAAGCAACUUGAAGAAUUGCUUGAGAAGAAGUUUGUGCGUCAAGUGUUUCUCCUUGGGGUGCACCAGUAUUGUUAGUGAAGAAGAAAGAAGGUACGAUGAGGUUGUGUGUCGAUUAUCGGCAGUUGAAUAAGGUGACUAUCAAGAAUCGGUAUCCAUUGCCGAGGAUUGAUGAUUUGAUGGACCAGUUGGUUGGAGCUAUGUUUUCAGUAAGAUUGAUUUGCGGUCGGGUUAUCAUCAGAUCCGAGUGAAGUCAGAUGAUAUUGCGAAGACUGCUUUCCGUACGAGGUAUGGUCAUUAUGAAUACACUGUGAUGCCGUUCGGUGUGUCUAAUGCUCCAGGUGUGUUUAUGGAAUAUAUGAAUCGUAUAUUUCAUCCGUACCUUGAUAAUUUUGUUGUGGUGUUCAUAGAUGAUAUAUGAUAUAUUCUAAGACGGAAGAAGAGCAUGCAGGACAUCUGAGAAUUGUUUUGCAGGUGUUAAGAGAGAAAGAAUUAUAUGCAAAGUUAUCUAAAUGUGAGUUCUGGUUGAAGGAAGUGAGUUUCCUUGGCCAUGUGAUUUCGAGUGGUGGGUUUUCUGUUGAUCCUGCUAAAGUUGAUGCUGUAUUACAGUGGGAGACUCCGAAGUCUGCUACUGAGAUACGCAGUUUUCUGGGGUUAGCUGGUUUAUUAUCGCAGAUUUAUUGAGGGCUUCUCUAAGUUGGCAUUGCCGUUGACGCAGUCGACUAAGAAGGGUCAAGUGUAUGUGUGGGAUGCAGCUUGUGAAGCGAGUUUUGUUGAGUUGAAGAGGCGGUUGACCAGUGCUCCAGUGUUGAUCUUGCCUAAUCCUGGUGAGUCCUUCGUUGUUUAUUGUGAUGCUUCUUUGAUGGGUCUUGGUGGUGUUUUGAUGCAGAAUGGUAAAGUUGUAGCUUAUGCUUCUAGACAGUUGAAAGUUCAUGAGAGGAAUUAUCCUACGCAUGAUCUAGAACUUGCAGCUGUUGUAUUUGUGUGAAAAUGUGGAGGCUUAUCUGUAUGUUCCAGAUUCGAAGUGUUCAGUGAUCACAAGAGUCUGAAGUAUCUGUUUGAUCAGAAAGAGUUAAAUAUGAGGCAGAGAAGGUGGUUAGAAUUACUGAAGGAUUUUGACUUUGAAUUGAGUUAUCAUCCGGUAAGGCUAAUGUAGUUGCAGAUGCGCUGAGUAGAAUCUCUACAUAUGUCUAUGAUGAUGGUUCGGGAGCUUGAGUUAAUUGAACAGUUCCGUGAUAUGAGUUUGGGUUGUGAAGUUUCCGCUGAUAGUGUAAAGUUGGGUAUGCUGAAGUUGACUAGUGAAAUUCUGGAAGAUAUUCGGAAUGGUCAGCAAGUUUGAUGUCGCUCUAGUUGAUCAUAUUACUAUGGUUAACCAGGGUAAUGGUGGUAAUUUUGAGAUUGAUGAGAAGUGCAUCCUGCAAUUUAAAGGUAGAGGUUUGUGUUCCUGAGGUGUCUGAAUUGAAAAAGAGUAUUUCUUGAAGAGGGCCAUAGGAGUGGAUUGAGUAUCCAUCCAGGUGCAACUAAAAUGUAUCAAGAUUUGAAGAAGUUGUUUUGGUGGGCUGGUAUGAAAAGAGAUGCUGCUAAGUUUGUGUUAUGCCUGUUUGACUUGUCAGAAGUCAAAGAUUGAACAUCAGAACCCGGCAGGUAUGAUGCAACCUUUGAAGAUUCCUGAAUGGAAGUGGGAUAGCAUUUCCAUGGAUUUGUGACGGGAUUGCCGAGGACGGUGAAAGGUAAUGAUUCUAUUUGGGUGAUUGUGGAUCGAUUGACUAAGUCGGCGCAUUUCUUGCCGAUGAAGAUUAAUCACUCUUUAGAGAAGUUGGCAGAGUUUAUUGAGGAGAUAGUGAGGCUGCAUGGUAUUCCAUCCAGUAUUGUGUCUGAUAGGAUCCAGAUUUACUUCUAGAUUUUGGGAAAGUUUGCGAAAGCGUUGGGGACUAAGUUGAGGUUGAGUUCAGCUUAUCAUCCUCAGACUGAUGGUCAGACUGAAAGAACUAUCCAAUCCUUGGAGGAUUUGUUGAGAGCUUGUGUGUUUGGAGCAGAGUGGUUCUUGGAUAGUUAUUUGCCGUUGUGGAGUUUACUUAUAAUAAUAGUUUUCAUGCUAGUAUCGGUAUGGCUCCAUAGAAGCAUUGUAUGGUAGGAGGUGUAGAACUCCAUUGUGUUGAUGAACCAGGUGAGAGUGUUGUACUCGGACCUGAGAUUGUGCAGCAGACGACUGAAAGGGUUAAGAUGAUUCAGGAGAAAAUGAAGAUUUCUCAGAGUCGUCAGAAGAGUUAUCAUGAUAAGAGGAGGAAGGCACUUGAGUUCCAAGAGGGAGAUCAUGUGUUCUUGAGAGUUACUCCGACGACAGGUGUGGGUAGAGCUUUAAAGUCUAAAAGCUUACUCCGAGGUUGUGGUCCGUAUCAGGUUUUGAAGAGGGUUGGGGAAGUGGCGUAUCGGAUAGCUUUACCGGCCAUCGCUUUCUAAUCUGCAUGAUGUGUUUCAUGUAUCUCAGUUGAGAAAAUAUAUUGCGGAUCCUUCGCAUGUUGUUCAGUUGGAUGAUAUCCAGGUGAGGGAUAAUUUGACCGUUGAGGUGUUGCCAAUUCGGAUAGAUGACCGAGAAGAGAAGACCCUGAGAGGUAAGAAGAUUGCUCUAGUGAAAGUUGUUUGGGGAGGUCCAGCUGGUGAGAGCUUGACUUGGGAGCGUGAAAAUCAGAUGAAGGAGUCGUAUCCGGCUCUAUUUGCUUGAGGUAUGUUUCGAGGACGAAAACUUCUAAAGUGGGGGAGAGUUGUAACACCAGAAUAUUGUUAGAUUAAUUUAAAUAUUAUUUUAAUAUGAUUAUUUGAAGGUAAAAUGAAUUAUUAAAUAAAUUGGGAAUUAUUAUUUAUAUUAUGGAUGUUAUUUAUUUUAAUAAUAAUAAAAUAAAUAAUAAAUGGAAUAUGAAGAGUGGAAGGGUAAAAGUGGAAAUGGAUAAAAGAGGCCAAGGUGAGAACUCAGAGUGUUUUCACGUAUUUUUGCCUCAGAGUCAGAGAAAGGGAGAACGCUGAAGAGAAAGAGAAGGAAGAGGAAAAGGCCAAAGAUUGCUCAGAACUUCCUUCAAUCCAAAGAGGUAAGGGGUCUGAACCUUAUUAAACGAUAAUAUGCGAGCAAAUUCAUGAUAUAUGUUGGAUUGUUGAUGGAUUUUGGGGAUUUUAGAGAGAUUGGGAAAGUUUGGGGUUUUGAUGGAAAUUCUCCGAUCUGUGAGUUUUGUUGAGUUAUAUGCUUAGAAGCCCGCGCGUCCACUGUUUCCGCACUUAAAUCUUAUUUAUGCACAUACAGCCAAAUGACGUUCGCCAUUAUGCCUUGGCGUUCGCCAUUUGGGCUUUUUUUUUCAGAAUAAGAGCGUUUAACGCUAAUGGCGUUCGCCAUUAGCCUAAUGGCGUUCGCCAUAUCAGUUUGACGGACAGUUUUUCCAGAAUAAGGAGCGUUUAACGCUAAUGGCGUUCGCCAUUAGCCUAAUGGCGUUCGCCAUAUCAGUUUGACGGACAGUUUUUCCAGAAUAAGAGCGUUUAACGCUAAUGGCGUUCGCCAUUAGCCUAAUGGCGUUCGCCAUAUCAGUUUGACGACAGCUUUCGCGUUUUAAACUCCCAGAUGUGAUAUCGUUGUAAUGUUGUUGUUGUUUUGUUGAGUUGUAUGUCAUGCUAUUAAUGAUGAUGAUAACAUGACUAUAUGAUGUUGUUGUUGCUAUGUUGAUUAUGAUGCAUGUUUGGUGUGCAUGCAUUCAUGAAAGGCCGAUGCCUAGUGAUGAACGGACUGAGUUCCAAUGAUGUUGUUGACUCCGGGCUUGUGGAAGGCUUGGUUCCUUGCGGGGAACUCGGAUUCUAUGGUGAUGAAUCUGGGAGUGGUGAUCCUGUAGUUGGUCACAAAAUGGGUAUACCGAGUCGUGUUGAGUCAUGCAUGGGUGUGUGCAUUGCAUUUGAUAUGUUGUUUUGUUGAUGUUCAUGAGUAUGUUGAUUAUGAUGAUUAUGAUGAGCUGUGUUGGCAUAUGUGAAAUAUAUUUAUGUUUAUAGUUAUAUUAUUAUUUAAUAAUGUAAUUCUCACCCCUUCUGCAUGUGUUUAUGUUCAUCUAUGAUGAGCAAUGUGCAGAUAAAGAGGAGUAGCUAUUGUUGAGGUUUGAAGAAUAAGUGUAGAGUUAUUCUACGGAGUCGAGUCAAAUGCUCUGGUCAUGUACACCGGGUUAUGGGAUUCGAUAGUAAUUGGUUAUUAUUUACGUUGUUUAUGAUGACUAAUAUGUUGAGAUGCUUUGUUGAGAUAAUGUUGAAACAUUAUUAUGAAUUGUAUAUGAUGAAUGAUAAUAUUUGUGUUGUUGUCCGCUGCGAAGUUUUAAUAAAAUAAAUAAUAUGUUUUAUGUUGUGAA